rnacentral:sRNA from 1 species
GAGGGUGAGGUCGGUGCGCGGUGGCGUCACGGCGCCAGCUCCUCCCGACGCUGAGGUGGGUUCCGGGAGACCCGCGGGUCUGGCUGCGAGAGUUGUUCCCUGCCUGUCCCAGGGAGCCUGCCCUUGGCCAAAAUGAGAAAAAACAAGGAUGAUGAUGGGACACAGCGGACCCACACGGGCACCUCUGGGACAAGAGAUUUUGCUUGAGACAGCUCCCAGGGCAGCAGGAGUCCCUGUCUGUGCUACAGGAUUUGGUAACUCGAGGUGUCCCUGGAGUACACUGAGGAUAAGUGUUUGAGAAAUGCUGUCUGAAGGAAUGAAAUCAGUCUAUGACAACGUCUCUCUGCUGUGAAUCAUUCCUGCAGAUGAAAAAGUGUGACUUGGCAGCUG